CCUAAAUUCCCUCCCCCAAUCUUCAUUCUCUAGCACAAAAUUUCCCAACAACAAAACCAAAAAUGGAUCCUUCAAUGUUUUCAACCAUGUUUCUUCACUUCACUUUCUUCUUCAUGGUUGUCAAUGGCGAACAGGAUUCUAUUUACGGGAUCCUAAAAGCCCAUGCACUUCGCACGGGGCUUCUUCCCAAAGGGAUAACCCGGUUUGACUUCGACGAUACGGAUUGGUUCGAGGUUCAUUUGGAUCAACCCUGCAAGACCAAGUUCGAAAGCGAGAUGCACUACGAUAGGAACGUGUCCGCCACUUUGAGUUAUGAGCAGACCGACAAGAACACGUGGAUAAAUCAAUCAUGAUUCGAUCUUCAAUAACGAAACUGUCAUGGUUCAUUUCGUUAUUUAUUACUGGUCUAAACCUCGAGGAGAUUGGGUUUCAUUGUCAGAGUUUGAACUCGGGCUCGACUGGUGCCCCAAAUACAAGCAAGCCCGUUUGGCCCAGACCCAACAACAACCCACGUGCAAACCAGUAGAAUGUUAGGGUUGCCAGAAACCCUAACAUCAUCUCAUCCAGCCGCGCCGCCUUCACCGAGGUUUCCUCACGCAGCACGCCUCCCUUCUCGUCCCACAGCCGCACGUCUCUUAUCUCCAUCAGCCCGAGUCCUCUGACGCAAGAAUCUCGGCCAUCACCAACAACCAACAUAAGUAUUUCACUCAGAUUAGAACACUAAAAAUAGGCUUGUAUUUUCACUAUAAAUAAGUGUAACACCCAUUCGAAUAAACACACAAGUAUUACACAAGAAAUACCAGAGAAAUACGAUCAAAGAAAGAGUGAUUUCGAGGCUA